rnacentral:rRNA from 1 species
CCUACGGGAGGCAGCAGCAACGAAUCUUCCGCAAUGGGCGCAAGCCUGACGGAGCAAUGCCGCGUGUGGGAUGAAGUGCCUACGGCAUGUAAACCACUGUCAGAGGGCAGAAACACUGAUCGCCCUCAGAGGAAGUGGCGACUAACUCUGUGCCAGCAGUCGCGGUAAUACAGAGGCCACAAGCGUUAGUCGGAAUCACUGGGCUUAAAGGGUGCGUAGGCGGUCUCUCAAGCGUCCUGUGAAAGCCUCCGGCUCAACCGGAGAACAGCAGGGCGAACUGGGAGACUCGAGGUUGGUAGGGGCUCACAGAACUGUCGGUGGACCGGUGAAAUGGGUAGAGAUCGACAGGAAUGCCGAUGGCGAAGGCGGUGAGCUGGGCCAAUCCUGACGCUGAGGCACGAAAGCGUGGGGAGCAAACAGGAUUAGAUACCCUGGUAGUCC